UGGGGAAUAUUGCACAAUGGGGGAAACCCUGAUGCAGCGACGCCGCGUGAACGAAGAAGGUAUUCGUAUCGUAAAGUUCUGUCCUAUGGGAAGAUAAUGACAGUACCAUAGAAGAAAGCUCCGGCUAAAUACGUGCCAGCAGCCGCGGUAAUACGUAUGGAGCGAGCGUUGUCCGGAAUUAUUGGGCGUAAAGGGUACGCAGGCGGUUUAAUAAGUCGAAUGUUAAAGAUCGGGGCUCAACCCCGUAAAGCAUUGGAAACUGAUUAACUUGAGUAGUGGAGAGGAAAGUGGAAUUCCUGGUGUAGUGGUGAACUACGUAGAUAAUAGGAGGAAUACCAGUAGCGAAGGCAACGUUCUGGACACAAACAGACGCUGAAGUACGAACGCGUGGGGAGCAAACAGG
rnacentral:rRNA from 1 species